UGUGAAGGAAUUGACCAGGGUCGGGGCAGUGCCACCCUGAUAUGGCCAGGGGAGGAGCUAAGGCCACAAGAUGAGAACACCACCCCUCUGGGUACUGCUAGGCAAAGUUCUCCAGCUCCAGUGAACUGGGCGCGUGUGCACCUACAUGGAAUACAUGUCUGCAUCACAUCUCAAAGAACAACUGUUACAGUAAGUAACCGCGUUUUAGUUCUCCUAGAUGGACUUCUGAACCUGUGCUGACCCCACCAACUUGAAAGAUUGAGGCCUCAGUUAGCCCUUUUUGGAUAUUCUUGAAAAUGUUCUGCUGUGCUUCCUUGCUAUAAAACUUGGUUUUCACACACAAGAUAUUUCAGGGGAAAUUCUGGUAAGUGAUCGUCAGGAAAUAAAAUCAGGCAUCCAGAACUGACUGAUCACUGUAGAGACUCUAUCAGACAUAGUUCCAAGGCAAACUCAUUGCCAUCAACAGUUUGCUAGUUCAGAUUAGUUAUCUUGUUAUAUCAUAAACCUGCAAGUUUGUACACACAGCAUUUCAGUUAACUCUGGCAUCUUUCUUGUACCUAAUUUACUGGGCCAACCCCCUCAGCAAACUAAAGCUUCUUUGGGUGGCAAUCUCCUAACAUCAAGUAUUACUGAGACCUCCUUCUUUGUUCUGAACUUCCGCUUGUUUCUCUUCAUAAAAUUCAAUCCCAGCAUCUCCAGUGAAGGUUUGAAUAGGGGUCUUAUGUCUACAAUGAGGUGUUUCCUGUGUCAUCUGAGCUGCACAUCCGAAUGUUUUCUGUAAAGGAGGAAGAUUUUACAAAUGGAAUGGAUAAAGCAAGACAAAAAGUUUCAAUCAAAGCAAAAGUGCUGCGGUUGCAGAAGGAUCUCAGCAAGGCAGCAGAGAAAAAGAAGGUUCUUGUCUGUUGCUAUUGCACUGAAUGUCUUAAUGGGUUGUAUUAAAUUAUGGGCCCCGUCACAGUGCCUCAUGUAAGGGGAAUUGCAAGUGGUAAAUGAGAAUCCUCUAUGCACACCUGGGGAGUAACACAGAGAGAGUGUCAUUUUUUAAUUCCAAAAGGUAGAUAGUGAGCAAGUGAAAGUGAACAAAAACACAGGACAACAACAGACGGUCACUGCAAUCUUAACUUUGGAGCCACUAGUUUAUAUUAGGUACCAAAAAAAAUCCCUUUAAAAGUUUCAUGCCGUUAUUGCGCCCCCCCCCGAUCUUGGGGCUGUCUGGGGUUGAAUUGGUUCCAGCACAAAUUAAAGUAACCACAGGUCUGCUCUAAAGUUGCAGCCAGCUGCCAUGGCCCCAAAUGCCCUUUUGGGCAGCCAGGGAUCACUGGAGCACACCAGUAUUCCAGCCAUCUCCCCUUUCCAUUGGGAACAUUCUACACAUUGAAUGCUGCCUGGACACCCUGACCAAACUUACCAAGCUCAGCCCAGGCUGGUCCUAUCAACAGCCCCAGUUCUGGGAACAAUAGCACGUAGCUACAUUUGAGACCAUUUACAAAAGGACAACAAAAAUAGCAAAUGGCUAGACAGACUGACUUGAAAGAAAAGAUCAAAAGUUAAAGUGUAUAAAGCAUGGCUAAAGGAUUAUUGGGGUUGGUAGAGAAUAAGUCUACGAGUAUCAGAAAAAUUUACAUAUGAAGGAGGGAGAAAAUAUUGAGAGUGGAACACAAUGGCAUAUAAAUGGGAGUAAUAGGAUGAGAUUAAGGAAUGGGAAAUUUUAGGGUGAAUAUGACAGUAACAGGGUAAAGUAUUAGCCAAUGUGGAUUAGAUGACCCAAGAAGUCCUUCACAUGCCUGUCAGUUUCUUUGAUACUUUUCAGGUCUGGAGCAGAUGCUUAAAACAUACACAGAGACCCCACAAUUUUCAGAUGUAAAGAACCAGAAAGACAUGGCUGUGCUCCUGGAAUAGACAAGUCUAAAAACAAGCCUUUUGCAAGCAAACAUCUGCAAACUAUCCACAAUACUUGCAGAACUAGAGCAGAAGCAGAAGCCCACACAUCCCUGGAGCGACUGUGUCUCCAACUGGAAAGAGAAGGACUGUGUACAUAGUUCUGUCCUCAUCUCUUGCUGUGUUAAAAUGAAACUAUUUGAGCGCACCUUUAGCAGAGGGGCUGCCAGUGGGCCGGUGAAUAACUUAAGAUUUCUGCCAGCUGAAAUGCUAGUUUGAGGACUGAGACUGAGUGCAAUGGAGAAUAGGGUCAUGUUAUAAUGCUG